CAAUAGCGUAUAUUAAAGUUGUUGCAGUUAGAACGCUCGUAGUCGGAUUUCGGGGCGGGCCGACCGGUCUGCCGAUGGGUACGCACUGGUCGGCGCGUCCUUCCUUCCGGAGACCGUGCCUACUCUUAACUGAGCGGGGGCGGGAGACGGAUCUUUUACUUUGAAAAAAUCAGAGUGUUUCAAGCAGGCAGCUCGCUCUUGCAUGGAUUAGCAUGGGAUAAUGAAAUAGGACUUUGGUGCUAUUUUGUUGGUUUCGAACACCGAAGUAAUGAUUAAAAGGGACAGUCAGGGGCACUCGUAUUCCGCCGAGAGAGGUGAAAUUCUCAGACCAGCGGAAGACGAACUACUGCGAAAGCAUUUGCCAGGGAUGUUUNCACUGA
rnacentral:rRNA from 1 species